GUUAAUUGGAAAAUUAGUUUUCGUUAAAAGUCUCUAAUAGCUGAAUGUUUCAUAUAGUCAACUACAAAAUCGAAAUUCCACGAUUAAAAUUUUUUAACGCAUGAUUUUUUUUACGAGUACAAAUACUGAUUAAAGUCACAGACCUUCUCAAAGUAACUUUUGGUAAAAAUGUUGUUAAUUUAUUGGUUUUUGUUGUUUGCAACUGUUUUUAGACACAGCUAUACUUUUAGAACGCAGCCAGCAUGUAAUGAAACCGACCAAUGCUUAUAUGCCUGUGAGGCGAUGUGUUUUAAAAAAACUACACCGAUGUGCUAUCGCAAAAAAUGCUUCUGUUCAGCUUAUUUUGAUUGAAUUAUGCAACCAUUCAUACAAUAUAACACAAUAAAAGAAAUUUAUGAUUC